rnacentral:rRNA from 1 species
UACGAAGGGGGCUAGCGUUGCUCGGAAUCACUGGGCGUAAAGGGUGCGUAGGCGGGUCUUAAGUCAGGGGUGAAAUCCUGGAGCUCAACUCCAGAACUGCCUUUGAUACUGAGGAUCUUGAGUUCGGGAGAGGUGAGUGGAACUGCGAGUGUAGAGGUGAAAUUCGUAGAUAUUCGCAAGAACACCAGUGGCGAAGGCGGCUCACUGGCCCGAUACUGACGCUGAGGCACGAAAGCGUGGGGGAGCAAACAGGG